UACGUAGGUGGCAAGCGUUGUCCGGAAUUAUUGGGCGUAAAGCGCGCGCAGGCGGUUUUUUAAGUCUGAUGUGAAAGCCCACGGCUCAACCGUGGAGGGUCAUUGGAAACUGGGGGACUUGAGUGCAGGAGAGAAGAGUGGAAUUCCACGUGUAGCGGUGAAAUGCGUAGAGAUGUGGAGGAACACCAGUGGCGAAGGCGACUCUGUGGCCUGUAACUGACGCUGAGGCGCGAAAGCGUGGGGAGCAAACAGG
rnacentral:rRNA from 1 species